GUAGGAGAGUCGGGGUAUAGAGCAGGCAGGUGUUUAUGGCAUGGGAAGGAAGAGUAAGAAGUGGGGCAAGAAGGUGUCGCGGUACGAGGGAAAGGUGAGACUCAAGAAGGUGCCGGCUAAGAAGCUGGUGCCGGCGUGGAAGGAGAAGGUGUGGGGCGAGGAAACAACGAAGGGCGAGGAAAGAUCCCGAGGCGAAGAGACAGUCUUCAUCGAGAAGGGGCAGGGCGAGGAGGAGGGGCGUUACCAGAGGGCGGUACGGGGCGAGGGGCCCGCGCGGGAAGAACCAAUCGCCGAGAACCCGGGGAAGGAACGGGUCCAUAAAGACCAGGUGGAGGAGCAGGGGCGCGGUCAGGAGCGGAAGCAGAGUGAGGAGCAAGCCCCGGGCGAGAAACGGGGGCCCGGCCGGGAGCAAGAGCAGGGGCGGGGCCGGGAGCAAGAGCAGGGGCGGGGCCCGGAGACGGGCGAGACCAGGUACAGUACCCAGCCCCUGGGCAGACCCCGAGCGAGGAGAAAGCGGCGAUACCAAGAGAAGUGCGAGGGUGGGGCAAGAGGUUGGGGCACAGCCGGGUGGAAGUACACGGGUGCGAUCGCAGGCAGAAGCAGUGCGGGGGAACAUAAGAGGGGGACUGUCAAAGCGAGAAAUAGAAACCAAGACCAGGUGAAGAGCAAGAGUGGAAUACAGGGAGGGGGCGGAAUAAGGAGCAAGGUGGGGAUAAAGUUAAAGGAAGAGACGUGGAGGCGGGGCGGAACGAGGCGGAGGAGCAGGGGUGUGGCCAGAAACAUUAGUAGGGCUGGGGCCCGGAGCAAUAGCAGAGGUGCGAUCCCCACGAGGGUCGGGGGCAGGGCCAGGAGCAAAAGCAGGGGCGGGACCAGGAGCAAGUGCAGAGGCGAAGCCAGGAACAAGAGCAGAGGCGGGGCUAAAAGUCCGUGCGGGGGCAGGGCCAGGAGCAAGAGCAGGGGCGGGACCAAGAGCAAGUGCAGGGGCGGGGCCAGGAGCAAGAGCCGGGGCGUGGCCAGGAGCAAGUGCUGUGAGAGGCGCAGAAGCGAGGUGGAAUCUUAGAAGUGGGCUCCAGAGAGCUGUCCGGCGCGUGGGUGUUGACGCCUGCGUUCUCCAGGUUCUAGCCACGUUAUGUGCGGCCCAGCCAUGUUCCCUGCCGGUCCUCCGUGGCCCAGAGUCCGAGUCGUGCAGGUGCUGUGGGCCCUGCUGGCAGUGCUCCUGGCGUCGUGGAGGCUGUGGGCGAUCAAGGAUUUCCAGGAAUGCACUUGGCAGGUUGUCCUGAACGAGUUUAAGAGGGUAGGCGAAAGUGGUGUGAGCGACAGCUUCUUUGAGCAAGAGCCCGUGGACACAGUGAGCAGCUUGUUUCACAUGCUGGUGGACUCACCCAUCGACCCGAGCGAGAAAUACCUGGGCUUCCCUUACUACCUGAAGAUCAACUACUCCUGCGAGGAAAAGCCCUCUGAGGACCUGGUGCGCAUGGGCCACCUGACGGGGCUAAAGCCCCUGGUGCUGGUCACCUUCCAGUCCCCAGUCAACUUCUACCGCUGGAAGAUAGAGCAGCUGCAGAUCCAGAUGGAGGCUGCCCCCUUCCGCAGCAAAGAGCCAUGCAUGGCAGAGGAAGUGUGUAGCAUGAGCUGGUACACGCCCAUGCCCAUCAAGAAAGGCAGUGUGGUCAUGCGUGUGGACGUCAGCAGCAAUGGCCUGGGGACCUUCAUUCCAGAUAAAAGGUUCCAGAUGAAUAUCAACGGCUUCCUGAAGAGAGGCUGGGACAAUAACAUCCAAUUCACUGUGGGAGAGGAGCUCUUCAACCUGAUGCCCCAGUACUUUGUGGGUGUCUCAUCGAGGCCCUUGUGGCACACUGUGGACCAGUCACCUGUGCUUAUCCUGGGAGGCAUUCCCAAUGAGAAGUACGUCCUGAUGACUGACACCAGCUUCAAGGACUUCUCUCUCGUGGAGCUGAGCAUUGACAGUUGCUGGGUGGGCUCCUUCUACUGCCCCCAUUCUGGCUUCACAGCCACCAUCUAUGACACUAUUGCCACCGAGAGCACCCUCUUCAUUCGGCAGAACCAGCUGGUCUACUAUUUUACAGGCACCUAUACCACACUCUAUGAGAGAAACCGCGGCAGUGGCAGUUGGGUUCGUGUCCUGGCCAGCGAGUGCAUCAAGAAGCUGUGCCCUGUGUAUUUCCAUAGCAAUGGCUCUGAGUACAUAAUGGCCCUCACCACGGGCAAGCAUGAGGGUUAUGUACACUUCGGGACCAUCAGAGAUGGCCAGGUGUCCUUUGAGAUGCUGCCCAGGCAGUGGUCUGUGUGCGAGCAGAUAGGAGUUACCACCUGCUCCAUAAUUUGGUCUGAAUACAUCGCAGGAGAGUAUACCCUACUGCUGCUGGUGGAGAGUGGAUAUGGUAAUGCCAGUAAACGUUUCCAGGUGGUCAGCUACAACACAGCUAGUGAUGACCUGGAACUUCUCUACCACAUCCCAGAAUUCAUCCCUGAAGCUCGAGGAUUGGAGUUCCUGAUGAUCCUAGGGACAGAGUCCUACACCAGCACUGCAAUGGCCCCCAAGGGCAUCUUCUGUAACCCGUACAACAACCUGAUCUUCAUCUGGGGCAACUUCCUCCUGCAGAGCUCUAACAAGGAAAACUUCAUCUACCUGGCAGACUUCCCCAAGGAACUGUCCAUCAAAUACAUGGCCAGAUCGUUCCGUGGGGCUGUGGCUAUUGUCACAGAGAAGGAGGAGAUCUGGUACCUCCUGGAGGGCAGCUACCGGGUGUACCAGCUGUUCCCUUCCAAGGGCUGGCAGGUGCACAUCAGCUUAAAGCUGAUGCAACAGUCCUCUCUCUACGCAUCGAAUGAGACCAUGCUGACCCUCUUCUACGAAGACAGCAAACUGUACCAGCUGGUGUACCUUAUGAACAACCAGAAGGGCCAGCUGGUCAAGAGGCUCGUGCCCGUGGAGCAGCUUCUGAUGUAUCAACAGCACACUAGCCACUAUGACUUGGAGCGGAAAGGGGGCUACUUGAUGCUCUCCUUCAUCGACUUCUGCCCCUUCUCGGUGAUGCGCCUGCGGAGCCUGCCCCGUCCGCAGAGAUACACGCGCCAGGAGCGCUACCGGGCGCGGCCGCCGCGCGUCCUGGAGCGCUCGGGCUUCCACAACGAGAACUCGCUCGCCAUCUACCAGGGCCUGGUCUACUACCUGCUGUGGCUGCACUCCGUGUACGACAAGCCGUACGCGGACCCGGUGCACGACCCCACCUGGCGCUGGUGGGCGAACAACAAACAAGACCAGGAUUACUACUUCUUCCUGGCGAGCAACUGGCGAAGCGCGGGCGGCGUGUCCAUAGAAAUGGACAGCUACGAAAAGAUCUACAACCUCGAGUCCGCGUACGAGCUGCCGGAGCGCAUUUUCCUGGACAAGGGCACUGAGUACAGCUUCGCCAUCUUCCUGUCGGUGCAGGGCCACUCGUUCCGGACGCAGGCAGAACUCGGCACCGCCUUCCAGCUGCAUAGCCAGGUGGACGUGGGCGUGGUGCUGGCCGACCCCGGCUGCAUCGAGGCCUCGGUGAAGCAGGAGGUGCUGAUUAAUCGCAACUCGGUGCUAUUUUCGAUUACGCUCAAGGAUAAAAAGCUUUGCUAUGACCAAGGCAUUAGUGGACAUCACCUUAUGAAGACUUCCAUGAUGGUCAAUGUGGUGGGUUCAUCCGGGCUCUGCUUCCAGGAAACACACCUGGGGCCCCAUAUGCAAGGCAACCUGAUGGUGCCAGUGUUCAUUGGCUGCCCCCCAGGCAAGCGCCUGGCCUUCGACAUCACCUACACGCUGGAAUACAGCCGCCUGAAGAACAAACACUACUUUGACUGCGUUAACGUGAACCCGGAGAUGCCCUGCUUUCUCUUCCGGGACAGUGUGUGUCCAGUCCCUUCCCCUGCACAGUUCACUGCCCUCUUGCCCCCACUACUUUGUGCUCUCCCUCCCCACUCCUCUCCCCGCAGACUACCCACCCUUUUUCCUGCGGCAUCUCACUUUCCCCUGUCUCGGUCCUCAGCUUCUCGGGCCAAGCUAAUUUCUUCUUCUGGUCUCAAUCCCCUCCAACCCCAUAGUUUUCUACCCCUUCUUCUUGAUUCAAGAUUUGGUGACAGGAGACUCCGGCAGUUUCCAGGGCAGCUAUGUUCUGCUGGUGGUGGGUGGCGGGCCCACACUGGACAGCCUCAAGGACUACAGCGAGGACGAAAUCUACCGCUUCAACAGCCCGCUGGACAAGACCAACAGCCUUAUCUGGACCACGAGGACCACAAGGACCACCAAAGACUCAGCCUUUCACAUCAUGUCCCACGAGAGCCCAGGCAUCGAGUGGCUCUGUCUGGAGAAUGCCCCAUGCUAUGACAAUGUUCCCCAAGGCAUCUUUGCCCCUGAAUUCUUCUUCAAGGUGUUGGUGAGCAAUAGGUGAGCCAGAGGAGUGGACACGAGCACCUACUGCAACUACCAGCUCACCUUCCUACUGCACAUCCACGGGCUGCCACUCAGUCCCAAGCGGGCCCUUUUCAUCGUCAU